rnacentral:rRNA from 1 species
AACGAACGCUGGCGGCAUGCCUAACACAUGCAAGUCGAACGAGACCUUCGGGUCUAGUGGCGCACGGGUGCGUAACGCGUGAGAACCUGCCCUUAGGUUCGGAAUAACUCCCCGAAAGGGGUGCUAAUACCGGAUAAUGUCUUCGGACCAAAGAUUUAUCGCCUUUGGAUGGGCCCGCGUUGGAUUAGCUAGUUGGUAGGGUAAAAGCCUACCAAGGCGACGAUCCAUAGCUGGUCUGAGAGGAUGAUCAGCCACACUGGGACUGAGACACGGCCCAGACUCCUACGGGAGGCAGCAGUGGGGAAUAUUGGACAAUGGGCGAAAGCCUGAUCCAGCAAUGCCGCGUGAGUGAUGAAGGCCUUAGGGUUGUAAAGCUCUUUUACCAGGGAUGAUAAUGACAGUACCGGGAGAAUAAGCUCCGGCUAACUCCGUG